UUCUAAAAUCACAUCACUUAAUCCACACCAUAAGCAUGCAGGCAGCCACCCUUGUAAUGUUAAACUCAAUUGCCAAUUCAAACACUUCACUCUCAUACACACACACUCACACACACAUAAGCGCACACAAUUUAAAGAGCAAAAUGUCCAGCUAAUGAUAGGCUAACGCUCAAUCAACGAUAAAACUAAAUUGUGGCACACGCGCCUCCAAAGCUCCGAGGCGCAGCUAUUUAUAGCUCAGCUGCCAGUGCGAGUGCGAAUGUGAGUGCGGGUUCGCCUAUCAGCUGCAGUCUCAAUGCACGUUCAAUUAAAAAAGAGCAACAACAAUAACAACAACAGAAAGAACAAGAAUAGAGUCUUGCAGAAGGUGCAGCGAACGCAAACUCACCUGGCCACUAAACACGCAUCGUUGAGAGACACACAGCCUGCAAAACUCACCACAGCGUUCCAACCUGCCUCAAGCAGCCUAACAUCACGUUAGCGCUGGCGUCAUCUACCUUUUGGCUAGCCAAGGUGGCUACGCAUUACGUUACGUUACAUUACGUUACGUUUGCUCGCUUCUCACUUGUGCCUCUUGCACAUUUGUCGCUGCGCCGACGUCUUCUUCUUUGCCGCCGUGGUGUAUUGUUGCUUUGACGAUUUUGGCGCUUCGUGGGGCCCACAAGCCGCACGACAAUAUUUGUGGCUUUCAGUUGCUAGCCGAACGCGCUUAUGUGUGGACGUGUGUUUCGGAGAGAGUUGAAGUCGUGUGUAACACUCUAACGGAUAUUCGAGCUGCCGCUCAGCUGCGCGCGUCGCGCUCUCGUCUGUGUGUUCGUCUUAACGCGUGUGUUUGUUUGUGUAUAUUUAUUGUUGUUGCUACCAUUGGCAACAGCGUUUAUUAAGUAUUUAAACUGCAUUAGUGGCUAAGCAAAUUGCAACAGAGAGAGAUAG